AUUGAACGCUGGCGGCAGGCCUAACACAUGCAAGUCGAGCGAGCGGCGGACGGGUGAGUAAUGUCUGGGAAACUGCCUGAUGGGGGGGAAAAACACCGGGAAACGGUAGCAAAAACCCAAAACAAUCAGAGUUGCCCAGAUGGGAUUGGCUGGUGGGUGGGGUAACGGCUCACCUAGGCGACGGUCCCUAGCUGGUCUGAGCGGAGGACCAGCCACACUGGAAUGGAGACACGGUCCGGACUCCUACGGGAGGCAGCGGUGGGGAAUAUUGCACAAUGGGCGCAAGCCUGAUGCAGCCAUGCCGCGUGGGUGAAGAGGGCCUUCGGGUUGUAAGGCACUUUCAGCGGGGAGGCGUUACCCGCAGAAGAAGCACCGGCUAACUCCGUGCCAGCAGCCGCGGUAAUUC
rnacentral:rRNA from 1 species